GUAACCAGUUCUAGCUUUACUUAUGGUCAGGCUUUUGCCUCUGCUUUCUAGUACUGGAAUACAGGUGUGCCUCAUCAUGCCCUUAUUUGUAAUUAAUAUCUUAACUACAUAGUUAACAUAUCAUAGUUAAAUUUUUUAUUCAUCAUGUUGUUUGGGUUUGUUGUUGUUUGUAUGAUCCUGGGGAUUGAACCCAGGGCAUCCCUCAUGGCAAGCACUCUUAAACCUACAGUAGUUUAGAGUGAUAUAACAUUGCUAGGUCUAGAGCCGGGUGUGGUGGCGCACGCCUUUAAUCCCAGCACUUGGGAGGCAGAGGCAGGCGGAUUUCUGAGUUCGAGGCCAGCCUGGUCUACAAAGUAAGUUCCAGGACAGCCAGGGCUACACAGAGAAACCCUGUCUCAAAAAAAAAAAAAAAAACAAAAACAAAAAAAAAAAAAACAUUGCUAGGUCUACAUGCCUGUAGUCUGGGUGUUUCUGGAGGCUGAGAUAGGAGGGUCGCUUGAACCUAAGAGUUUAAGACUCGCUUGGCCAUAGUGGGCUCCCACCUCAUUCACCUCCUUACUGGGCUCAUGGAUAGAUAAUGUGUUAGAGGUCAUAUAGGGACAGAGUGUGGAAUUAUACUAUGUAGAGGUUAAAGUCAGAACAUUUUUUUAAGAUGUGUUAUUGUUUGUGGUUCAUAAAUCAAUUAUGAUAAUCACUCUUUUCCAGGACAGCACCCUUGUGCCCAGGAUAAUGGUGGCUGUUCACAUAUCUGCCUUGUAAAAGGAGAUGGUACGACAAGAUGCUCCUGCCCCAUGCACUUAGUUCUGCUUCAGGAUGAGCUGUCCUGUGGAGGUAACGAUGUUAAACUCUUUCAUCUAUUGCUAGUCUGCAAAGCUGCUAUUUCUCCUGACUUAAUUUGUUUGUCUCCCAGGCUUGCCUUUCCCCCACUUGCUCCCCAGACAUUCCCUACUGCUCCAGACUCCAGUGACCACUGUUUUAACAAACUCUGUUUCUGUAUGGGUUUUACACAUUCCACAUAAAAGUGUAAUUAUUAGAUGGUUACCAUUCUUAUUUCAUUUAACAUGUAUUCUCUAGGCUCAUUUCUUUGUAGCAAGCACAUGAUAGGAGUUCCCUUUUUAAAAGUCAAAUAGUAUUUUAUUAUUAUAUAUGUCUUAUGGUAUUUUCAACCUAUGAAUUAUAUUUCCAGAACAAAUGAAACAAAAUCAAACCUUGUAAGCAUAUUUAAUGCUAUUGAAUUAUAUACCCUUUAAUGAUUCAACUGAUAAAAUGUUGUUACAUAUGUUUUAUCAUAGUUAAAAGAAAUUGUGUUUCCAUAUAGAGUGCUAGACUUGCUUUAAAAAGCAAAUCCUGAAGAAAUUUAAGAGAUAAAACUGAGCCAGUAUCCCAUCUUCAGUUAGAAAAUAUCUUUUAAAGGGACUCAAUUUUUUUGCUUAUAAAGUAAUUUUUUAUUUGUAUAUAAAAUUAAUAGCAAGUUUUAGAAAAUUAACACAAAUGUCACCUGACUCAAGAUGUAGAAUGUUGCUUUAAGAAAGUACUCUUGAAGAUCGUGUACUCGAGAGAUGGAGGCAGUUCAAGAUCAUGCUGGGCAAGGAAACCCUUUCUCC
rnacentral:lncRNA from 1 species